rnacentral:rRNA from 1 species
UUCGGGUUUAGUGGCGCACGGGUGCGUAACGCGUGGGAAUCUGCCCCUUGGUUCGGAAUAACAGUUGGAAACGACUGCUAAUACCGGAUGAUGACGUAAGUCCAAAGAUUUAUCGCCGAGGGAUGAGCCCGCGUAGGAUUAGGUAGUUGGUGUGGUAAAGGCGCACCAAGCCGACGAUCCUUAGCUGGUCUGAGAGGAUGAUCAGCCACACUGGGACUGAGACACGGCCCAGACUCCUACGGGAGGCAGCAGUGGGGAAUAUUGGACAAUGGGCGAAAGCCUGAUCCAGCAAUGCCGCGUGAGUGAUGAAGGCCUUAGGGUUGUAAAGCUCUUUUACCCGGGAUGAUAAUGACAGUACCGGGAGAAUAAGCUCCGGCUAACUCCGUGCCAGCAGCCGCGGUAAUACGGAGGGAGCUAGCGUUAUUCGGAAUUACUGGGCGCAAAGCGCACGUAGGCGGCUUUGUAAGUAAGAGGUGAAAGCCCAGAGCUCAACUCUGGAAUUGCCUUUUAGACUGCAUCGCUUGAAUCAUGGAGAGGUCAGUGGAAUUCCGAGUGUAGAGGUGAAAUUCGUAGAUAUUCGGAAGAACACCAGUGGCGAAGGCGGCUGACUGGACAUGUAUUGACGCUGAG